rnacentral:rRNA from 1 species
GUGGCCUACGGGACGCAGCAGUGGGGAAUAUUGCACAAUGGGGGAAACCCUGAUGCAGCAACGCCGCGUGAGUGAGGAAGUAUUUCGGUAUGUAAAGCUCUAUCAGCAGGGAAUAGAAAAGAAGGUACCUGAAAAAGAAGCCCUGGCUAACUACGUGCCAGCAGCCGCGGUAAUACGUAGGGGGCAAGCGUUAUCCGGAUUUAUUGGGUUUAAAGGGUGCGCAGGCGGCGUGUCAAGUCAGCGGUAAAAUGUCGGGGCUCAACCCCGGCCGGCCGUUGAAACUGGCGUGCUCGAGUUGGAGAGAG